rnacentral:lncRNA from 1 species
CACUUGGGACCUCGUCCAAAUGUACCAACAAGUCCAUAAACAUACUACAGACCUACUCAAAGUCUCGGAACAUGUAAAAUAAUAUCGAAACCAAGAAUUGCACCUCAGCAUCAAAUUAAUCAACUUUGGAACUUCAAACUUCUUCCAACUAACUCCGAACCAUAUUAGACAACUCGGAGUGACGCCAAAUUUUAUGCACAAGUCACAAAUCACAAAUCACAAAUCACAAUAUGAACCUAAUCCAAGGCUCGGAUCCCCAACCAGAUAUAGAAAACACCAAAGUAUACUUCAAAUAACUUAGAAACUCUAAAACCUUCGAGACACCAACUUUCAAUAAUAAGCGCCGAAACGCUCCUGGUCCACCCAAAAUUCAAUCCAAACAUAUGCCCAAAUUCAAAAGCAUCCUACAAAUUUCGAUAUCGAGGUCGUUUACUCGAAGUGUUGACCU